rfam:Lactobacillus oris PB013-T2-3 contig00075, whole genome shotgun sequence.
UGAUUAAAUAUGACUCUGCCUAAGACUCAGGUGGCACCUGCCUUAAUAUUGCCUGCCGAGGAAGAAAUGUAAAUUCCUUCUCUAUGUCUGCGGUCAUAGGGAUUUUUUUAUAAAUCC